rnacentral:tRNA from 1 species
GGGGAUUUAGCUCAGUGGCAUAAGCGCCUGCCUUGCAAGCAGGAAGUCAUGAGUUCGAUCCCUG